rnacentral:rRNA from 1 species
AGAGAUUAGAGUUUGAUCCUAGCUCAGGACGAACGCUGGCGGCGUGCUUAACACAUGCAAGUCGAACGAUGAAGUGGAGCUUGCUCCACGGAUUAGUGGCGAACGGGUGAGGAACACGUGAGAAACCUGCCUCGGAUUUUGGGAUAACAAAUGGAAACGUUUGCUAAUACCAAAUAACGUCGGAGAGUCACAUGACUUUCUGACGAAAGGAAUUCCGAUUCGAGAGGGUCUCGCGGCCUAUCAGCUUGUUGGCGGGGUAAUGGCCCACCAAGGCAACGACGGGUAGCUGGUCUGAGAGGAUGGUCAGCCACACUGGGACUGAGACACGGCCCAGACUCCUACGGGAGGCAGCAGUGGGGAAUCUUGCGCAAUGGGCGAAAGCCUGACGCAGCAACGCCGCGUGCGGGAAGAAGGCUUUCGGGCUGUAAACCGCUUUCAGCAGGAACGAAAAUGACGGUACCUGCAGAAGAAGGAGCGGCCAACUAUGUGCCAGCAGCCGCGGUGAUACAUAGGCUUCAAGCGUUGUCCGGAUUUAUUGGGCGUAAAGAGUUCGUAGGCGGUCGAGUAAGUCGGGUGUGAAAAUUCUGGGCUCAACCCAGAGACGCCACCCGAUACUGCUUAACUUGAGUUCGAUAGGGGAGUGGGGAAUUCCUAGUGUAGCGGUGAAAUGCGCAGAUAUUAGGAGGAACACCGGUGGCGAAGGCGCCACUCUGGAUCGACACUGACGCUGAGGAACGAAAGCAUGGGUAGCAAACAGGAUUAGAUACCCUGGUAGUCCAUGCGGUAAACGGUGGGCACUAGGUGUGGGUUUCUAUUAACGAAAUCCGCGCCGUCGCUAACGCAUUAAGUGCCCCGCCUGGGGAGUACGGUCGCAAGACUAAAACUCAAAGGAAUUGACGGGG